CCCCUAGACGUCCUGGGCCGCACGCGCGCUACAAUGACUUAUUCAGAAAGUGUUACAACCUGGUUCGGAAGAAUUCUGGGUAAUCUUUUUCAAUACAAGUCGUGUUAGGGAUCGAUCUUUGCAAUUAUAGAUCUUGAACGAGGAAUGCCUAGUAAGUACAGCUCAUCAGGCUGUGCUGAUUACGUCCCUGCCCUUUGUACACACCGCCCGUCGCUCCUACCGAUUUCGAGUGGUCCGGUGAACCAUCUGGAUUGGGGAUCUCUCCGAAGAUUCCCGAGAAGUUUAGUAAACCUUAUCACUUAGAGGAAGGAGAAGUCGUAACA
rnacentral:rRNA from 1 species